rnacentral:rRNA from 1 species
AUCUAUAAGCGGAGGAAGAGAAACUAACGAGGAUUCCCGUAGUAACGGCGAGUGAACGUGGACCCUGUGCCCAUCACCGAAUCGGCGGCGGUGUACCCGUCGUUUCCGAGCUGUGGUGUUUGAGACCCUUUUUCGGUUAGCCUCCUCAGGCCCCCUUGUCCAAAUCGUCAGUGAGCCGCGUACCGUAGCGGGUGCUAGUCCCGUAGCGACGGGCGGGCGUCCUGUAGGGAGGUGAAUCGUGGGGUUCUCUCGAGUCGAGAUGCUUGAGAGUGCAUCUCUAAGCCGGUGGUAGGCUCCAUCUAAGGCUGAAUAGCGGCACGAGUCCGAUAGCGAACAAGUACCGUGAGGGAAAGUUA